CUAAAAAAAAUUGCAAUUGCUUCGCCUUUUUACUUCGGCAACAGUUGCCGUCGCAAUUGAGACCCUAUUGCUACGGAAAAUCUUCCGUCGCGAUUAAACUUUAUCAUUUGCGACGGAAAAUGUUUGCCGUAGUAACUCUGCAAUCAAUUGCGACGAACUUUUCUCGUACCGUCGUAAACUUUUCUCUUACUCUUGGCGCUAACCCAAUUAUUUUCCCCCUGUUUUUACUUUUGGCCAAAGUUCCCACCAACAAUACAGCCCUAAUUCUUUAUCCCUCUUUUUCCCAAACAACACCUCUCUCUCUCCCCCUCCCUCCCCAAGCUUUGUAGCUCCUCGAACUGGAACUUACCGCAGAGAUCGACGAGGUCCGCACCGCAACCUACCGCCAACAGUGACGAGCUCCUCCGUCGACGUUAACGAGGUCUGCGCGCCGGAACAUACCACCGAGACUGACGAGCUCCUCCUUUCCAUCGAAUAGCUCCUCCUUCACCAAAUAAACUGUAACAACAGCUCUCUCACACCCCAGACACAACAAAUCCAGAUCAAUAUCUCUAGGAAUCUAAGGACCAGCCCAGAACUUCUGCUAAAUCCUGUUUUGAUAUGUCAAAAUGAGGCUGAAAAAUGCUUAAUUGAGACAUCUAUUAGUUCCCUUCGUAUAAGCCUCAAGGAAUAAGUCCUCUGAUGUGCGAACUCUUUCUAAGAGAAAGAUACAUUGAUUUCUAGAUUGAUGUAUUAUAAUCUGCCAUAUGGCUAGUUGGUUCAUGCUUACUCGAUCACAUUAGCAUCUGCCAUAAUGUAUUUUCUUAUAAUUAUAACUCUGUUGAAUUUUUUGUUUGUGCCCCAAUGUGAUUGGUCUUUGAAGUAGAUGUUCUGGGUUUUGAAUUUUCAGACUAGCAGGCCUAAAGAUUGGGAGAAAGUCCCUGAUCCUAAGAAGUAUUUUGUCCAAUUUUUUGGAACAGAAGAGAUCAGAGAACACCAUCCAUUAGUUGAAAAGGCAGCUCAUUAGCAAGUCAGUAGUGAAGAAUCUGGAGUUGAUUUUGGCAAUCCAAAGCCAAGAGCUUGAUAUUAGCAGAUAAUGAGUCUGCCAAAGCAUCAAGACAACAGCUUAAAGAAGCUAGAAAAAAAAAGCUCACGUUUCCUAGGCAUAAGCUAGCAUACAGUUACUUUGGUGCUGCAAUUCUUUAUCUUCCUGAACUAGUACAUAGGUGCCACAAUCUUUGUGAAGAAAUUCUAUUCAAUGUGCCACGAUGGGCUUUAGUUAUUUAUUUCGCUAAUAUGAGGUUGUAAUUGUUGAUUGGUUUAGUUAUAAUGGAUAUUUGUAGUUUAACUUUAGAUGCAUGUAUAAUAGUUUUCAUUUUUGCAUGUUCUUAGAAUGAAAAUAUGGUGCAAUUUUCACCAUAUUUUUUUUUUAAAAAAAAAUUCGUUUUUUGCGACGGCAAGGUUACCGUCGCAAAUACCUCCACAUGGAUUAUCCUAAAACAGACAUUGCGACGGAAGUCACCGUAGCAAAUGGGCCGUCGCAAAACAAUAAAUUUGCAACGGCAAGAGAAAACCGUCGCAAAAAAGUAUUUGCGACGGCAAAUUGCCGUAGCAAUUGGAUUUUGUGACGCCACCUAUUGCAACGCCUGUCUUGCCGUCGCAAAAACCUCAAUUUACCGUCGCGAAAAGUUUUUGCCGUCGCAAAAGCUCAAUUUGCCGUCGCAAAAUAGACGUCGCAAAAGCAAUUGUUUUUAGU